rnacentral:rRNA from 1 species
UACGUAGGGUGCGAGCGUUGUCCGGAAUUACUGGGCGUAAAGAGCUCGUAGGUGGUUUGUCGCGUUGUUCGUGAAAACUCACAGCUCAACUGUGGGCGUGCGGGCGAUACGGGCAGACUGGAGUACUGCAGGGGAGACUGGAAUUCCUGGUGUAGCGGUGGAAUGCGCAGAUAUCAGGAGGAACACCGGUGGCGAAGGCGGGUCUCUGGACAGUUCCUGACGCUGAGGCACGAAGGCCAGGGGAGCAAACGGG